rnacentral:snRNA from 1 species
AUACUAUAUGGCAGGGGAGAGACUAUGAUCAUGGAGGUAGUUUUCCCAAGGUGAGGCUCAUCCAUUGCACUUGGGGUGUGCUAACCACUGCAAUUUCCCCAAAUGUGAGGAACUGGAUUAUAUAAUUUAUGGUGGUGGGGGACUGUAUUUGUGCUUUCACCCC